UUUUCACAAUGUGAACAAAUAGUUCGUUCAUUUGCGUUUUCUCCAUGUUUUAAGCAAGUUUAUAUUCCUAGAAGUAAUGACGCAUGGACAUUUGCAUACUGUGUGGAAGUUGCUGUACGCCAGCUCGGUCCUUAAGUGGUCAAUCUUCUGCCAGUGAUCAAGAUGAUUCUACACACAAAGUUUUGGCGGUGAUGGCAGUUUUUUUUAACCAGCGGUAAAUGAGCCAAAUGAGUAGCUUGCCUAUUA